rnacentral:rRNA from 1 species
GAUGAACGCUAGCGGCAGGCUUAAUACAUGCAAGUUGAACGGGAUUGAGGGGCUUGCUCCUCAUGAGAGUGGCGCACGGGUGCGUAACACGUAUGCAACCUACCUCAAACAGGGGAAUAGCCUCCCGAAAGGGAGAUUAACACCGCAUAAGAUAACAGGACGGCAUCGUCUAGUUAUUAAAUAUUUAUAGGUUUGAGAUGGGCAUGUGUCUGAUUAGCUAGNGGUGAGGUAAUGGCUCACCAAGGCGACGAUCAGUAGGGGAUCUGAGAGGACCUACCCC